rnacentral:lncRNA from 1 species
UGCCAGUCUAUCCCAGCAUAUUUCGUUUCAUCUUAAACACUCUCUCUCUCUCUCUCCUCUGCACUAUUUCAUAUCUCAAGGCUAGCCCCAUUUCAUUUGAUUUCCAAAAACACACACACACCCUAUCCCCACAGGACGUUUCCAUAGCCCACCCUCGGGGCAAACGCGUACUGUAUCCGGGACUAUCCCACUGUCUAUUUUCAGCUUGUUAACAGGGGAGCCGAUGGGGUCCACGCAGCCAAGUCUGCAUUUUGCCUCCGCUUCAGCAGCUAUAAACGUCUUUACUUUACAGCACGCGCCGCAUAGUUAAACCAACCGCAGCGAGACUAUGCACUCUUGCCUCACCACGUGCCUAACCUGGGGCCAAAAUCAUCUGUUACCCGACCCCUGCCCGUGUGAAAGAGUGGAGGACAUGUGUACGCUGCGCCGCUGUCU